CGGCCAGGCGGAUCAGCUGCACGCUGAUCAGCACUCUCUCUCUUCCUCUCUCCUCUUCUCUCUCGCCGGGGCGGAACUCACUGUGGGUUCACGCCCUCGGCCCACGCCCUCGGGAGAUGAGACACCUGGGUCUCGUUAAGGUGAUCAGCACUUAAGCCAGGAGGUGACUGCUGUGCGUCGCUGGAUCGUUGUCUACCACGCAGCUCCCUGGAUUUUCCCCCCGUGUGAUUCCCGUGUGGCAGUGUCGGAGUGUGAGCCUGUGAUCGUGUGAGUGGAUAUUCUGAAGAACGCGUGCUUUCCCCUGGACUUCCCUGGAGACCCCUUCUCCCCUCACUCAGCUGUAUAUAGCACCCCCCGCACAUUCCUGUAUAUACACCUGGUGGAUUGUAAAUAAACCUUUCUUGUGAGCAUCAGAACCGGAGUCCUGCGCUUGAGUCCUCCUCCAAACCGUAA